GAUGAACGCUGACAGCAUGCUUAACACAUGCAAGUCAUUGGCGAAGCUGCGCUUGCGCAGUCUAGCCAAGGCGGACGGGUGAGUAACGCGUAAGGAACUUGCCCUGCAGACAGGGAUAACAGACGGAAACGACUGAUAACACCUGGUAUUGUCAGGCUGGCGCAUGCCGGCCUGAUGAAAGGAGACGCUGCAGGAGAGCCUUGCGUCCUAUUAGCUAGUUGGUGGGGUAACGGCCCACCAAGGCGAUGAUAGGUAGCCGGCCUGAGAGGGUGAACGGCCACAAGGGGACUGAGAGACGGCCCUUACUCCUACGGGAGGCAGCAGUGGGGAAUAUUGGACAAUGGGGGCAACCCUGAUCCAGCAAUUCUGUGUGCACGAAGAAGGUUUUCGGAUUGUAAAGUGCUUUCAGCAGGGAAGAAGAAAGUGACGGUACCUGCAGAAGAAGCGACGGCUAAAUACGUG
rnacentral:rRNA from 1 species